AAUCUGACUUUGUGAAAUGACUUAGGAGGUGUAGAAUAUGUGGGAGCCCAUGUGAUCUUGAAAUACCACUACUCUUGAUGUCACUUUACUUACUCUGUUCCACUGUGACCUGUCCUUGAUCAGGUUUUUGCUAGAAAGCUUGUCCCCUGGAAUUGCUGAGCUGCGUGGAAGAUGCAGUCAGGUGGGGAGUUUGGCUGGGGCGGCACAUCUGUUAAAGGAUAACGCAGGUGUCCGAAGGUUAGCUCAAUGAGAACAGAAAUUUCAUGUGGAUCAAAAGGGGAAAUGCUUGCUUGAUUUUGCUUUUCAGUGUGACGACAAACUGUGCAAACAUGGCCUAUCGAUCCUUUAGGUCUGAAGGGUGUUCAGCGAGAGGUGUCAGAAAAGUUACCACAGGGAUAACUGGCUUGUGGCAGCCA
rnacentral:rRNA from 1 species